rnacentral:rRNA from 1 species
UACGGAGGGUGCAAGCGUUAUCCGGAUUCACUGGGUUUAAAGGGUGCGUAGGUGGGCAGGUAAGUCAGUGGUGAAAUCCCCGGGCUUAACUUGGGAACUGCCGUUGAUACUAUCUGUCUUGAAUACCGUGGAGGUGAGCGGAAUAUGUCAUGUAGCGGUGAAAUGCUUAGAUAUGACAUAGAACACCUAUUGCGAAGGCAGCUCACUACACGGUAAUUGACACUGAGGCACGAAGCGUGGGGAGCAAACAGGA